rnacentral:rRNA from 1 species
CACGUAGGGCGCAAGCGUUGUCCGGAAUUAUUGGGCGUAAAGAGCUCGUAGGCGGUUUGUCGCGUCUGCUGUGAAAGACCGGGGCUCAACUCCGGUUCUGCAGUGGGUACGGGCAGACUAGAGUGCAGUAGGGGAGACUGGAAUUCCUGGUGUAGCGGUGAAAUGCGCAGAUAUCAGGAGGAACACCGAUGGCGAAGGCAGGUCUCUGGGCUGUAACUGACGCUGAGGAGCGAAAGCAUGGGGAGCGAACAGG